rnacentral:lncRNA from 1 species
GACCUGCACCAAGGCCGCCAGCGCGAAGAAGGCGGCCAUGAGUCCGUUGCAGGCCCGCCACAGCGCUGGCGCCAUGGCUCGGAGAACACGGCGCGGGGCGCACCUGACAUACCUGGAUAUAAACAAUAUCCAAGGCCCCUAAGGUAAAAGCCUUGCUCCAAGUCCCCUUCUGACUUCUAGUCACUUCCGUGCUGCCAGCAGAGGGCGUGGGAUUCUUCCUGAGGAGCCUGAGUCUCAGCUUUGCCAGGUCCUUGCUGUGUGACCUUGGGCACCUGUGCUCCCUUGACAAAGAGGAAUAAAACCUCUUCAGACUACUCUCCUAUCGAUUCUCUCCUGGAACAUAUGACCACCAUCAAUUAUAGGCAAGAACAUGAACACGGGAGUCCCAAAGACUUGGGUUCAAAUGUCAGCCCCUUCACUCGCUGGCUGUAGGUGUGAGGCCCUGGCUCCUGUGGGGCUAUUGCAGAGGAGAAACUUCUGGAACAGAGAGCUCCUUGUCCAGGGAUGCUGCAUCUGGGUGAGCUGCUCCUUGGAUAUGGUGCAAGUGUGGCCAGGGUGUGGUGUGGAAGGAGCAGAAGUCUUCAGGACUGAAUCUGGAUGGACCACUGUGACAGCUGUAUACCCAGGUGGUACCAGUUUCCCUCUCUGCAGAAGUCCCCCCAACAGCACCAUUCUCAGUGCCAUACCUGGCCUCAUCAGGGCUCUGAUGCAAGACACUGUAUAUGCAGAAUAUAUUAUUUCAUCCUCACAACAGUUCUGUAUCUUCCACAUUUUAUAGGCUAAGGAAAUAGGCUCAGGGUAGUCAAGUAGCUUUCCCAAAGGCACACAGCAG